ACAUUCGCGAGCUCCUUAAUAUUUGUAAGGUUAAGGACGUAUUAAUGAUUUUAUUGAAAGAAAUAAAGAUGUUGACGUCGCCUUUGGGGCUUGAAGAAC